AACGAACGCUGGCGGCAGGCCUAAAACAUGCAAGUCGAACGCCCCGCAAGGGGAGUGGCGCACGGGUGAGUAACGCGUGGGAACGUGCCCUUCAGUACGGGACAACGUCGGGAAACUGACGCUAAUACCGUAUAACAUCUCCGGAUCAAAGAUUUAUCGCUGAGGGAGCGGCCCGCGUCUGAUUAGCUAGUUGGUGAGGUAAUGGCUCACCAAGGCUACGACCAGUAGCAGGUCUGAGAGGAUGAUCUGCCACACUGGGACUGAGACACGGCCCAGACUCCUACGGGAGGCAGCAGUUAGGAAUAUUGGACAAUGGGGGAAACCCUGAUCCAGCCAUGCCGCGUGUGUGAUGAAGGCCCUAGGGUUGUAAAGCACUUUCGUUGGGGAUGAUAAUGACCGUACCCAAAGAAGAAGCCACGGCUAAAUUCGUGCCAGCCGCAGCAGUAA
rnacentral:rRNA from 1 species